ensembl:lncRNA
ACACGGGACAGAGUCUGACAUGACGCCCCCCUCUGGAAGGCGUGACCUCACGCCACAUAACAUCACAAGGGGAGGGGGAGGGCACUCUGGAGGCACCUAGGACACACCCGGGACAGUGGGCCACCAGAGCGGCACCUGCACAGGACGCCAUGGCGUACCUGGAGACCCAGGGGGGCCAUGGCUGAGCUGGAGACCCGGAGGGGCCAUGGCGGAGCAGCCUCCGAGGCCGCAGCCCCAGCCACUGCCUCUAUGGCUUGAUGCUUACUGCCCCCCCCCCCCCAAAAAAAAAAAUAAUUGGGGAAACUUACAGGUCUAAAAUCGGGGCUUGGAGCCCUCCGUGGGCUUAACAGGGGUACAGGAGCCCUGCCUGGGCUUGACUCGGGAAUAGGAGCCCUCCGUGGGCUUAACGGGGAAUCAGGAACCCCUCCUGGGCUUAACUGGGGAUCAGAUAUGCACUUUUGUGGGGCUGGAGCCGACACUGGAGCGAGCUCUGGGGCUGGAGCGAGCUCUGGGGCUGGAGCACCAUUUGGCGGGCUUGCCAUAUUAAUGUUUAAUGGGCUUGCCAUAUUAACUGGCGGGCUUGCCACAUGAAUGUUCGGCUGGCCGGGCUCGGGAACCGCCAGGCUAAGGGGUUCCAGAUCGGGACCGGAGGCUCUCCAGACACCGGAUGACUUCCUACUUCCAGUCAAGGUUGGUUGUGUCUGGGAGCUCCACGGGAUGAUGGUAUGUUAUCCUGAUCCCGAACAGUGUCACAAGUGUAUCUCCCUUGAGGGAGCUGGCAUGGGCGAGCGGGACGAAUGCCUUCACAUAACUAACCAAGUUGGGACUCGCCUGAGCCAUGGCGAUAAACAGGGCUCGUUCCUCCAUUAGGGGACGUGAAGGAAAGCACAGAAAAACUAAACCAAAACACUACUAAAAAACAGAAAAUAAACGUGGGGAGAGGGAAUGCCGCUUACUGUUUGGUCUGCUGUUUGGUCACUCAGGCUGGAAGGGACGAGGAGAUGCUAGAGAAUACUUCAAAGGAGUUUUAUUCAGGAAACAAGGAGACAACAAACACUGGAACAUCAGGGAUGACAUUUAACAGCAGGAAAAGAAACUUGGGUUGGGAACACUAUUUAAACACAUGACUUGAUGAGCGGAAGACGAGGAACACCUGGGAUCAAUGGAAACACAUGGGAUCAAAUUAACUAAUAACUCAAACAAUCAGGGAGCAGGAACACACAAAACACAGGACAGAGUCUGGCAGUAGCGUGGUCUGAAUUUAG